AAAAUCCUUCCACAGGAGGCAGGACAGAGAGAAGCACAGAAAGGAAAGAGAGGUUGAGGUGCCUGCGGGAGUGGCCCAGUUGACUGACUUGGGCCCAGAAGAACCUAAGCCUUUCAGGCAGCAUCUGGAUCCUCCUUGGCCUAAGGAGAGGAGCAGAGCUCCUGCCAGGAUUGCUGGGUUGCAGCUGGGGGGCCAACCUGGGGCAGAGAUAGGCAUGUGGAGCUUGCAUACAGCUUUUUCUUGAGGCGGGUGAGUUUCUUCCUGCACUCCCUGAAAUCAUUCCCCACCGGGCCUGUAGGAUCCCCCUACCUAGGGCAGGUUCUACUUUAAAGGAGGUAUCUUUCAGCCAUCCCAGCCGCCUGAGUCUAGACAGACUGUUGCGGCAGAGCCAGGUCUUUUUCUUUGCGUCUUUUUGUGUCACCGGAGGAACAAUUUAUUGGUCUAAAGCUGUCUAAUUCUGCUUCUUUGAUCUCUUCUUGUUGCUUCGUCUUCCUUUAGCUAACUUAGGUUUUUAUCUCUCUCAAAAGGCAUUGUUAUUUGGAAUUUUUUUCUUCCUGUUUUAUGCCCUUCAUGUCCCAUCUGAGAUUCUGAGACUGUAUCAUCCUGACCCACCAUAAAGGGCAUCCCCGGAUAUUGUUCCUCUAGGUUCUCUGUACCCCCAGGCAGCCCCGGAGCCCACCUGCCCCCACCUCCCCCGCCCAAGUAUGAGCCCUUUACUGGACAGAAGCUGGGGAUCCUUGCUGAUUUGAACUAUCUUACAGCCUUUUGUGCCCCAGGACCCCCUGAGAGGGUGCUGUGAAUAAGGGGGCAUCCUGGACCCUCUAAAACUGAUGAAGAGUGCUUUGUACACAAGGAACCAAACUCUAUAAUUUAGAGGAGAAUUUCCGGAGCAAUUCCAUUGUGAGGUCGGGUUUAUGGUGUGCAAUCGAGCUGGGCAGUAAAAGGUGGCCAGGCUUCCAGUGUGGCCUGGGCAGUUUAUGAGGCGUUUAGAGGAAGGGUUAGCCCAAUCAUCCUCUGCAGAACAGUGGGCAGCAGGGCUUCAGCUGAUCCAACACCGCAGCAGGGCAGGGAAGGUAGGAACCGUGGGUUGAGGGUCUAAAUCA
rnacentral:lncRNA from 1 species